rnacentral:rRNA from 1 species
UUUUCCGCAAUGGGCGAAAGCCUGACGGAGCAAUACCGCGUGAGGGAGGAAGGCUCUUGGGUCGUAAACCUCUUUUCUCAGGGAAGAAAAAAAUGACGGUACCUGAGGAAUAAGCAUCGGCUAACUCCGUGCCAGCAGCCGCGGUAAUACGGAGGAUGCAAGCGUUAUCCGGAAUGAUUGGGCGUAAAGGGUCCGCAGGUGGCGAUGAAAGUCUGCUGUUAAAGAGUCUAGCUCAACUAGAUAAGAGCAGUGGAAACUACAUAGCUAGAGUACGUUCGGGGCAGAGGGAAUUCCUGGUGUAGCGGUGAAAUGCGUAGAGAUCAGGAAGAACACCAGUGGCGAAGGCGCUCUGCUAGGCCGUAACUGACACUGAGGGACGAAAGCUAGGGGAGCGAAUGGGAUUAGAUA